AUGCAUAUGUGUCGGUUCCUCUCUUAGGUGUCGAUUUGUGUUUCCAUCUUCACUUGUGGGCUUCACCCGUCGGCCGUGUUUUCGAAGAGCCCGCAACACUAUACUGAUUGUGUUUUGUUGAUUGUCGCGCCAGUGGGGAGCACCAGCUGUUUUGUCUGGCAAAGUGAUCCUAGUAGCGCUGAAUUAAACGAAUGAUUUUGACUUAGAUAAUUCCAGCUGGAUAUACAGAUUUUCGUCCCGCUCAAGCCGCCGCAAAGAACAAUCUUCAUAAAGGCGAACAAUGCCGACUGACACGCUUUUGCUAGCGAUUGCAGCGGUUAUAUCCAUCGCUGCUAUCGGCUUUUUACUUUUGUUUCUACUUAGGAGGUCCCAGAACAGCGAUGACACACCCGAUCGACCUCGACUCAGACCUGCUCAAAUGAACCGUGCUGACGACGAAGUAAUGCGACGUCCAAUUCGUGCUCGAGGCAUCCGAAACCGAAUGACUCGUGAACUCUUCGAGGAAGAGGCUGUUCGGGAACGAGAAGAACGCUUAAGGGAAGUUUUUGAAGAAAAUGACGUUGAUAUGCCUACAGGGAAAGUUGGUACCAAAAAAUUACGCAAACUUGAGGAAAAAGCCGAAAAGCGUCGCCUCCGAGAAUUAGAGCUUCAAGAAAGAGAGGAACGAGCUCAGAAACAGGCUGAGGAGGACGAAUACCGCAAAAAAGUAGAGCAGAAAAAGGAGGAUGAACAAAAACAAAAAGAAGAAGAGGAACGGAGACAGAAAGAGGAGAAAGAACGUCGUGAACACGAAGAGUAUCUGAAAAUGAAGGCGGCCUUCGCCGUUGAAGAAGAAGGCUUUGAUCAGGAAGACGACCCUAACUCGUCGCAGAAGUUGCACGAGUUCAUCACGUAUAUCAAUGAACAUAAAGUUGUCCAACUUGAAAAUCUUGCCGCUCAGUUUAGGAUGAAGACGCAGGAUUGUAUUGACAGAGUUCAGCGUCUAUUAGAAGAUGAGAGUCUAUGCGGCGUUAUCGACGACCGAGGCAAAUUUAUCGCUAUUACUAGAGACGAACUGGAUGAGGUAGCUCGUUUUAUCAAGGUGCGUGGUCGCGUUUCUAUACAGGAACUCGUCGAAAAUAGCAAUCGUCUUAUUAACCUUGCGUCCGUGUCUACAUAAAGUAUAGCCGAAGUGUCAACAGAGCUCAAUAUUAUACUGCUGAGCUAGCCGAAAGUAAAGAGUUUGGAGCUUUGAAGGUAGAAGGAAACUGGGAGAUACGGAAAAAGUUUUAAGCUGUGACUAGAGAAAACGUAUACCGUAGAGGCGCGCAACCUUAAGCCAGGAACCAUGUGUGGAUAAAACUCUGGAUAAGACAAACAGGAUCGACAAAAUAACUUAUAUUUUUCAUUAUGUUGUUCUGCACGCGUCCUGCUACUGCACUAUUCGAUUUUACCGAUAUAUAUGACAAUCGCAUACGGCGAAGCAAAAGUUAGCGAUAAUCGGCCUAGACGAAGCCUGUCAAUCAUGAAUGAAAGUAAAAAAAAAAAUAAUUUUCCUUCGUUAACUAUACAUUACACCUUCUUCAAGAUAUAAUGUUCUCAGGUAAAAAAAAUAAUUACUGGAAAUUAUCCUCAGAUACUGUUCAAGUGUUUGUACAGCAAUAUGAAUUAGUUAAGUAUAUAAUGACAGUUGUACGCCCUUUGACCUAGCAAAGUACAUGGAUAUGCUAAGAUAAAGGCGUGUGAAAUGUUGCUGGUCGUCGUAUGGAAGCGGUGUUACGGCAGUGCUAUUUUUAAACGCCGGUAAAACGAAGCUACGAAAAUGAGUAAGAAGUUAGUUUGCAUUUGAUCAUCGCGCUGUUGUUCGUCUACGAAUUAGGCACUGCGGAAACAGAAUGAAAAAAGCUUAAACCUUUAUAAGUAAAGGUUUGAGUUUUUGAAGAACAAGUUACACCAUAAGCAACAAACAUUGUCACAUGUAGACAUGUUUCACAUGUACAAUCACACAGAUGUAGCACAUCACACAGCUUAAAUAGUUAUGUUUCUACUGUUGCGACCUUGAUGCGCAAAAUACGCAGGCAUAAAUGUGGGGAACUCGUGACGCAACUACAUAAUUUUAGGAUAGAUAUUGUUACCUCAGAAUAAUGAACGACACAGAAAAGGAGCCAAUUUAUUUUUGCAAAAUGGCUACUAAACAACGGAUUCGUUGUUUGCAAAAAAAAAAAAAUACUUAACAAUAAAUCCUAAAUUCAGAUACAUUCCAAAUGUUGCAGAUUGAUUUUGAGUUAUCGUAUUAAAUAUGUUAAAGAAAUUUCGUCAGACCAGGCAGAUGGACAAAGAUGACAUAUCCUCGAGUCUUUCUUAUUAUAUGGAAACUCGGGGUCCAUAAUUUAGGAUUUUUGUUUGAUUCCUCCUAAACGAAAUUUUUCAAGUUCUUGCAGAACAGGACAACAAGUAGGGGUCCAGGUACCAUUAUCUAGUCUUUCGAGUACACGGUGAGGACUUUUAGAAAUUAUGGAUCUUUCCGGUGUCACAUACAACUGAAGAUCGGGGAUGUAGUAAUCGGCGAAACGCGCCAUCGUGAUCAUUAUUAUUAACUCAUGCAAGAAACAGCCUGCUAACGUAAGCUGUAAUCUUCGAUUUAUCGUACUCGGUCUUACCUAUCUUCUAUACUGUUGACUACAACGCUAAAAAAAGACACUCUCUUGAUACUAUACAAAGUUUUAUUAUUUUUUGCUGUUAUGAUUAGCAUCGUCGUAUCCACGAUGUGGCCACACGGAGAGGGGGGUUUUUCAUCACUUAUGUAUAUGUAUAUAUAUAUGAAUUGGCUUUGGUCUUAUGAUAUAUAACCUAGUUUAGUCGGGUCAGGCGUAAAUUUGAUGAAGCGUCAUUAUGGUCAACUCAUGGUUCCACGGAACUCGUACGUAAUGCAUCGUUUUCUUCUCUAUUUAGAAAACCGUCUGUUUCCUUGUUUGUUCAGUUGAAUCAAUAUUUUCUACUUUCCACAUUUAUUGACUACUUGAUUUCUCGAAGCAACAAUGAUCCGGCACUCCUCUGACAAUACUGCCCAUUCGUUACACCUUCACCACGAAGAAUAUUCAUUAUGGUAAUCCUGUUAUUCGAAGAAGAUAUACACAACAUUUUCGUAUCAUAAAGGGUUUCGUUUCUCUGGAGAGUCAGAUAGUCCUCAGGUCGUUUCCUCGUUUGUCAUUUGUCUCUAUUUGAUUCACUUCUCCAAUUGUAGCUCAUCAUCGACUUACUACAGUUAAGUAUUUCCCUACGUACUCUCGACAGCUGAACAAAUGGGACAACGUCAUUAACGGCGCAUGCUAGAACAUGUGGAAGUAGAAUACGAACGCAUAUUUGACAAAAGCAUGUUUGACAAAUGAUAAAUAAUACAGUAGAAAUAAUGAAACGAUACGGAGAACGUCUAGGCUUUCGUUGCAGCGAUUCGUGAGCAUGAUGAAGUCCUUGAUCUUGUAUUCUUCUCAACACGGAGUUCCAUCUUCACUGUACUAAAAAAUCUGAGAAGCCGACGUAAGAUAAACGGAUCGACAAAAAACGAAUAGCACAUUUCACAUAAUUUGCUUCUGCGUUACGCCAGUGAUGUACAUAACAGUGAUACACUGUAUAGAAUAAAGUAAAAUAAUACCACCAUAGAAGAACUUGUUAAUUAAACGAUGACAAAGAGAGCGUUUUAUAGAAGAAAAACUCAAUUGUGCGGAGAACCACAUGAUUUGAAGAUAAGCGAUCAAGCGGUAAUGGCAACCUCUACUGCCAUCAAUACUUAGUCACGAAAGUCGACAAUAUCCCUUUCCCACGCGGAUCAAUGCUAUCAUACUGGAGGCUAUAAAAGCCAAAGCGAAACGUACAUAUUUGUGUAUGUAUGUCACCGUUGGUAAAUGUAAACGAGCAGGAAAACAACCAUUCAGUUAUUGUCCCUAACCUAAGUAACGGAUAGACCAAUAUGAAGUAGUAAGAGAAACAAUAGUAAACUAUCAUACCUCUUUUCGUUUCCGCUGUUUAAGUAAUCAAAUCUUCCUUUAUCCGAAAGAAUCUGAAUCAAGUUCAUAUUUUCGUCCUUACAUAUAUAUCAUGGUCUACAAAAGUGAAGCUCACUUCAUCGAACUUCGUUCAUAGAAAGUUUUCAAGAUUUCUUUCACGUUAGGCAUAUACAUUUUUCUAAUACGUUUGUAUCACUGUGUUUUGUCAUGUUGCAGAUUCUCGGUAGGAUACACAGAUGAGACAUUUAGGUGGGAAAAUCGGCAGUCAGGAAUUAAAAAAGUGCCCUUUUUUUUUAAACUAGUAUCGUCGAUAGGAAUCCAUUCAAUCCUCCAUGAUUCGUUCAGUCACAAUCUCAACAUCAGCUUGUCUGCUUCACAGUCGUUCUUCCUUGAAGAGUAUCAUCUUAAUAUUUCAAUACUUCGCAAUGGUUGUUCUUAUUUCUGUGAGACAGACGCAUAAGUUGUUGCCGUUUAUGUAGAUGGCCUUCCUUUUCUUGAUUUACUGAUCGUCAGAUUUUUUUUGGUAGUUGGUUUAUAACCUAUAAUUUCUCUAUCAUAUCAUUGUUUCAUUUUACAUUUGGUUGUUAUAUUCUUAAAAAAAAAGUCCACUUUAAACAACUUGUAGAACAAAAAAAUGCGUUCAAGCUGCACAAAAGACUUAACCAUCGGUAGAGUAAAAAAAUAAAUAAGGGAAAUACUAAGCAAAAGCGGCAAAACAUUAUGCGUCAAAUUAAUACUUGCUGUCCGAACAACUUGGUAAUCCGGUGUUAAAUAGGUUAAUUAAAUACAACAUCAAACUGAAUCCGAGAUUUAUGGCAGCAGAUUCUGCACAAUAAAUAACACAAGUCCCAUUGAUCGAUUGAGGGUCAGCUUCUCAGAUUUAUUAUGGAAGAAAUCCCAAUCGGUUUCAUCGUCUUUAGCGAUAGCUGUCGCAAUCCUUUCUGUAUCGUGAUGUCCUGACGAAUUUGACAGCGUCCUGCUUGUGUUUUCAGCGAAUUUCACUGAAACAUUUAUAUGCGGCGGUGGCGACCAGGUUUAAUCCGUUUACAAAUAG